rnacentral:rRNA from 1 species
AUGUAUGUGCGUAGUUCAAGUUUUCGACCGAUUCACCAAGGAAUAUUUUGGUUGGUUUUGGCGGAUUGCUUACUACUAGGUUGGAUCGGAUGUCAACCUGUGGAGGCACCAUUUGUUACUAUUGGACAAAUUCCUUCUGUCUUUUUCUUCUUGUUCUUUGCCAUAACGCCCAUUCCGGGACGAGUUGGAAGAGGAAUUCCAAAAUAUUACACGGAUGAGACUCAUCGCACCGGAUCCUUAGACAGAUGA